rnacentral:rRNA from 1 species
UAUAAGCAUUAUACAGCGAAACUGCGAAUGGCUCAUUAUAUAAGUUAUCGUUUAUUUGAUAGUACCUUACUACUUGGAUAACCGUGGUAAUUCUAGAGCUAAUACAUGCUAAAAAUCCCGACUUCGGAAGGGAUGUAUUUAUUAGAUUAAAAACCAAUGCCCUCUGGGCUUCCUUUUGGUUCUUUUAAUUUUCCGAAUCGCAUGGCCUUGCGCCGGCGAUGGUUCAUCAAAUUUCUUCCCUAUCAACUUUCGAUGUUUGGGUAUUGGCCAAACAUGGUCGCAACGGGUAACGGAGGGUUAGGGCUCGACCCCGGAGAAGGAGCCUGAGAAACGGCUACUACAUCCAAGGAAGGCAGCAGGCGCGCAAAUUACCCAAUCCCGAUUCGGGGAGGUAGUGACAAUAAAUACUGAUACAGGGCUCUUUUGGGUCUUGUAAUUGGAAUGAGUACAAUUUAAAUCCCUUAACGAGGAACAAUUGGAGGGCAAGUCUGGUGCCAGCAGCCGCGGUAAUUCCAGCUCCAAUAGCGUAUAUUAAAGUUGUUGUGGUUAAAAAGCUCGUAGUUGAACCUUGGGCCUGGCUGGCCGGUUCCGGCCUUCACCCGGCGUGUUAAUGGUUCCGGGCCGGGGCCUUUUUCCCUUUGUUGGAAACCUUCAUGGCCCUUUCAAUGGGUUUUUGCCGGGGAAAACCAGGAAUUUUUUACUUUUGAAAAAAAAUUAGAAGUGCUUCCAGGGCAGGGCCUAUGGCUUGGAAUAACCUUUAGGCCUGGGAAUAAAUAAAAAUUGGGAACGUGUGGGUUUCUAUUUUUGUUGGGUUUCUAGGAACCGCCCGUAAAUGAUUAAUAGGGAACCGUUCGGGGGGCAUUCCGUAUUUCAAUUGUUCGGAGGUGAAAUUUUUGGAUUUAUUGAAGGCUAAAUAAUGGGAAAGCCUUUGCCAAGGAAGUUUUCCUUAAUCCGGAAAGAAAGUUAGGGGAUUGAAGGCGAUCCGAUACCGUUGUAGUUUUAACCCUAAAAUAUGCCGAAUUGGGAUGGACGAUGUUAUUUUUUGAAGCGUUUGGCCCCUUACGAGAAAUCAAAGUGGUUGGGGUCCCGGGGGAGUAUGGUUGCAAGGGUGAAAAUUAAAGAAAUUGACGGAAGGGCACCCCCCGGGGGGGAGCCUGCGGCUUAAUUUGACUCAACCCGGGGAAACUCACCCGGUCCCGACCCAAUGAGGAUUGACCGAUUGAGAGCUUUUUUUUGAUUUUGUGGGUGGUGGUGCAUGGCCGUUUUUAGUUGGUGGAAUGAAUUGUUUGGUUAAUUGCGAUAACGAACGAGACCUUAACCUGGUAAAUAGCCCGUAUUGCUUUGGCAGUACGCCGGGUUUUUAGAGGGACUAUUGGCUCAAGCCGAUGGAAGUUUGAGGCAAUAACCGGUUUGUGAUGCCCUUAGAUGUUUUGGGCCGCACGCGCGGUACCAUGACGGAGCCAACGAGUAAUUCCUUGGCCGAAAGGCCCGGGUAAUUUUGUUAAAAUUCCGUGU